rfam:Firmicutes bacterium CAG:137 genomic scaffold, scf156
CGCAUUGGGGAAAAAAUGCACAGUAACAACGAACCGCAAGAAGUCAGCAGAGGCCAUAGUACCGGAAAAAAACUGGGAAUGGC